rnacentral:rRNA from 1 species
AGUGAACGCUGGCGGCAGGCCUAACACGUGCAAGUCGAACGGCAGCACAGGAGAGCUUGCUCUCUGGGUGGCGAGUGGCGGACGGGUGAGGAAUGCGUCGGAAUCUGCCUAUUUGUGGGGGAUAACGUAGGGAAACUUACGCUAAUACCGCAUACGACCUACGGGUGAAAGUGGGGGACCGCAGGGCCUCACGCAGAUAGAUGAGCCGACGCCGGAUUAGCUAGUUGGCGGGGUAAAGGCCCACCAAGGCGACGAUCCGUAGCUGGUCUGAGAGGAUGAUCAGCCACACUGGAACUGAGACACGGUCCAGAAUCCUACGGGAGGCAGCAGUGGGGAAUAUUGGACAAUGGGCGCAAGCCUGAUCCAGCCAUGCCGCGUGUGUGAAGAAGGCCUUCGGGUUGUAAAGCACUUUUGUCCGGAAAGAAAAGCAUUCGGCUAAUAACCGGGUGUUAUGACGGUACCGGAAGAAUAAGCACCGGCUAACUUCGUGCCAGCCGCCGUAAUAC